AUGAACGCUGGCGGCGUGCCUAACACAUGCAAGUCGACUGCAUUUAGUUGCAGGGCGAACGGGUGAGUAACGCGUGGGAAUCUGCCCCGAAGUCUCGGAUAACCCGUCGAAAGACGGGAUAAUACGAGAUAGUCCAUUUAUGGUAAAGAUUUAUUGCUUCGGGAUGAGCCCGCGUCCUAUCAGCUUGUUGGUGGGGUAAUUGCCUACCAAGGCUUCGACGGGUAGCUGGACUAAGAGGUUGACCAGCCACAAUGGAACUGAGAACGGUCCAUACUCCUACGGGAGGCAGCAGUUGGGAAUCGUGCGCAAUGGACGAAAGUCUGACGCCGCGACGCCGCGUGAAGGAAGACGCAUUUCGGUGUGUAAACUUCUUUUAUAGGGGAAGAUUAUGACUGUACCCUAUGAAUAAGGACCUGCUAACUACGU
rnacentral:rRNA from 1 species